rnacentral:rRNA from 1 species
UACGGAGGGUGCUAGCGUUGUUCGGAAUUACUGGGCGUAAAGCGGGUGUAGGCGGUUUGUUAAGUCAGAUGUGAAAGCCCACGGCUCAACCGUGGAAGUGCAUCUGAAACUGGCAGACUUGAGUACCGGAGAGGGAAGUGGAAUUCCUGGUGUAGGGGUGAAAUCCGUAGAUAUCAGGAGGAACACCGGUGGCGAAGGCGACUUCCUGGACGGAUACUGACGCUGAGAUCCGAAAGCGUGGGGAGCAAACAGGAUUAGAUACCCCCGUA